rnacentral:tRNA from 1 species
GCAAGCGUAGCUUAAAUUUAAAGCAUAACACUGAAGAUGUUAAGAGUGAGCCCUAGAAAGCUCCGCUAGCA